rnacentral:rRNA from 1 species
AGCGAACGCUGGCGGCAGGCCUAACACAUGCAAGUCGAGCGCCGUAGCAAUACGGAGCGGCAGACGGGAGAGUAACACGUGGGAACGUACCCUUUGGUUCGGAACAACCCAGGGAAACUUGGGCUAAUACCGAAUAAGCCCUCACGGGGAAAGAUUUAUCGCCGAAGGAUCGGCCCGCGUCUGAUUAGCUAGUUGGUGGGGUAAUGGCCCACCAAGGCGACGAUCAGUAGGUGGUCUGAGAGGAUGAUCAGCCUCACUGGGACUGAGACACGGCCCAGACUCCUACGGGAGGCAGCAGUGGGGAAUAUUGGACAAUGGGAGCAAGCCUGAUCCAGCCAUGCCGCGUGGGUGAUGAAGGCCCUAGGGUUGUAAAGCCCUUUCGGCGGGGAAGAUAAUGACGGUACCCGCAGAAGAAGCCCCGGCUAACUUCGUGCCAGCCGCCGCCGUAA